rnacentral:lncRNA from 1 species
CUUUCUGCGAUUGGACAAAAUGCUGUCAUGGUGGGUGAUUUGGUUGUGUUUGAAAAAACGUCUCGUUAAUUAUAUCGUGAUGGAAAGCAAGUAAAAAACUAUAAAUAGUUGAACUAGAUCUUACAAAGAUUUAUAUUUUUAUUAAAAUAAUUGAUUCUUCAAUAGCUCUUUGCAUCCGUGACAGCUGUUUAUUCGGGACAAUUAUAUAAUUUUUAAUGUAAACUUUG